rnacentral:lncRNA from 1 species
UGCCACUUUCUUUCGGACAACAACAGACUUCCUACGACGCCAUAUUUUAUGAGCGACAGACGAACGCGAGGCCCCUGGUGCGCGUCGCGUUCGUUACGUAACAUAGUCGUUCAAUCAGUUGCCUGUGGGAAUGAGCGUCGCGCUUCUGUUUGAGGACCAGCUGUUUAGUUUUUAAUUAGUUUAACGUACACCACAUUGAAGUAGUUCCUGAGGCUUUAUUAUUAAGCCAUUGUGGGUUUAUCUUAUGAUUAUGUGAGCAACGCCCCUCCAGUGGCACGUUUGAUUGUGACAUUUUAUAAGUUUGACAGAAUAUCAGUGCGACUUUGUGUGUCAGUCACUUCCACAGCGACCCACAAAAGGAGGGUAACCGCUUAGCAUGAUGUAGAGGAUGACGCCCAGGCUCCACAGGUCACAGCGCUUAUCGUAAAUGGUGGCCUCCUCGUUGAAGGCUUCCACAACUUCCGGCGCCAUGUAUUCAGCAGAUCCACACUAAGGU